rnacentral:lncRNA from 1 species
UGUUGGUGAAGACUGAGUGUACGGCAUGUGCCUUUAGCAUCUUCUCAGCACAGGAUUCUGCUCUGGAAAGCUUCUCCAGGCGCUAUGCUGGCCCUGUGGCUGCCUCACGCUGGGAAAACUAAUCUGAUGCACAGCUGCCUGUCCACAAUGGGCCCAGCUGGCUGUGCUGCCUUCCCAGGGCUGCGAAGUCCCUGCCUCCACCUAGUCACGUGGCUGCUUCAUUUGGGGCUCUGGGGCACAGUGUUGGAACUCCUUGCCUCAUCCACAGAAGAUCUGGUCAAUGGCCUCACAGGGCCUAUCAUCCAUCAGGGCGAAAGUCCUCUGCAAAACCCUCACUGUACCCUCGGCCCAGAGAGACAUGAGAUGCCCCUGGCAGUCAUUCCUGAGGGUUGGCCUGCUCCAUGGCCAUUGGAGCCCUCGGAAGCCUUAGGAGGGUG